UUUUUAAAAGUGAACAGGGUCAAAAUAGCCAACAGGGGAAUAUUAAUGGUGGUCACUGAGCUUAAGAAGUCACUUAAGCUACCUGGAAUCACUAAAAUUACUGAUAUGAUUCUGAUAUUUACAAAGAAUCCACAUCUCUCCUAUGGAGAAUUGAUUGAUUGGUCCCAAGUAAAAGAAGCAGAGAGAAUGGGAUGCUUCUCAACUCUUCAUAUCAUCCCUCUUCUCUUCCAAGAAGUGCUUGCUUUGAGUUUUUAUUUAUAUUUAAAAUUUAAAACAAUGAAAUAAUAUAAACUGAGAGAUGCAUGUUUUUGUUCUGAAAAUGCAAAUUUUGGUUCAUACAUGAAAUACUUUUAAUGAAUUUGAACAAUAUUUAAAUAGAAUUAAAACCUGGUAUGUAUAUAUUGCUUCUAUCAUAGAGCUCUCUUUACUUGCAGGGGGCAAAUCUUGAUUCUUUUAAGCAAAUGAAGGUCAUGCCAUUUCCUUUUCUAGUGCUUGUUUUAGAAAUAAGCACAUAAUGCAAUUCUAGCCAAUGUCACUUGAAAGUCUGACGGAGGUACCAGGAAAAAUUCCUCUUUUUUUUUUUUUGGUGGGAGAUAGGGGAAUAUACUAUCUUCUAGUCCUUUAGUUCCUUUUGGGAAUGUCAUAAUUAGUUUGUGCAGACUUCUUGAGGGUAUGGUAUAUUAGUAUGAUAGAGCUAUUUGGAUAUCAGCCCAAAGGAUUGGUAGUUUAGCAAUACAGGGGGAAGAAAAAAGAAUCUUUGGUAGCAUCCUUGGACCACUGAAUCAACCUUCCCUGGGACUUCUCUACCUCUGGGCUUUGGGUUAUAUUUGGACCAUCUGGAGUUAGUUCUUCUGUUUUAGUCUAAAGCAUCCUAAAUGAGAUGUUUCUUAUGCUUCUAAAUAUACUCUUUUUAACCAUGUUCCAUUUUGUGUGGACAUUGUAAGGGUAAUAUAUACAGACUUAAAAAGAAUAUGCCUAUGAAUUAGGAAGCUUUAAGCAAUGGAAACCAUUUUUCAUUCACUGCCAUUCCACUAUGGUAGCAAUUCUUCCUAUGGUAAUUCUGUUUGUUACUUCUCAGUAAUAGGAAGAAUCAUCAGUACAAUUGUGUAAGGUACUUUUAAUGAAUACAUAUCUAUAUUCUCAAACCGUAUGGCAACUUCUGGAAUGCUUUAGAUUUCCAUCCCACCUUCAUAAUCUCUUAAAGAGUCUCCUGUGCCUUACUCACUCAACCUUACAGUAGGUAUUCAUAGUCUGGUAACACUUUUCUUCUAAUUGAUCCAAUGUGGUUUGGUGGUCACAGUUAUUUAUAAUAGUGGUAAUCCUCAUACUACAAGAGUAGGCAAUAUUGUAUUUAACUACCUCACUAUUGAGAAAUCCUUAAUAUAGGGCCAUCAACUUUAGUUGUGAAAUUCCUGUGUCAUGUGAUAUUACUGGGAUCAAUUCUCAUAGGAUGAGAUCUAAGAAUUAAUAAGACUGAAAGGAAACAUUUAGAAUAUGUAAAUGACAGGUUUUUUGUCUUUGCAAUUGUUAAGAAACUAAAACCAGAUUUUAUAUCUAUUUUGAAAGGCUGAAAUGAGUUUUAUAUUAUGACGUCUAUUAACAAUUCAAAGUGUCUAUUUUAAAAUCUUUAACAAUUUCUUAAAAAAUAUCUUGUACUGAAGGAUAAAAAUGGCUCUGUUAUUCAUAUAUGAUUAAGUACUGCAUUUCUCACUUCAAUAAGUGUAAUUCCAUAUAAUUUAUUAUAUAAACCAUCAGAAUAAUAGAAUCCAGUUCUAUUUGUGACAUCUCUGCAGUUAUCACAAUGUAUUUUGAAAACCCAAAGUAACAAUGGGCAUUUCCAUUGAGUGUGUUUCUUUGCCCAUAAAGGAAACAACCAAAUUUACUUCUGGCAGAAACUCAUUUGACACAUUCUAACCAGAAUAUAUUAAAUCAAUUGUUUGCUUCAUGUGGGAUGUUAAAAUGACAUCCCAUUUUAUCCUUCCAUUUUCUUAACGUAAUAAUGAGCACAUUCAAUUCACAAACAUUUCAAUUUGGUUAUGAGCUCACUUCCUCCAUACUACUCCUACCACCUCCACUUCAAGUUUAGCAUAAUCACUCUCUUGAUGAUUUAUGCAAUUUCUAAACAUUAGCAAACAUAACUAACCAAAUAUAAUGUAUUAAUAAGUCUUCAAUUAUUUUUAGAAAGAAUUGCAAUAGCGUUGGCAUUGUCUUACAGAAAUACACCUGAUUUUAAAAGUAGAUUUUUUUUCUGAUUUACCAGACAAGAAUAUCCAAACACCAAACUGUGUAAAUAUUUCAAAACCAUACAUACAAAAGUAUUACCUAAUUUGUAGUGACUUAUCAAGGCAGGGAAGUAGGAACUUAAUAUUCAUUAAGUCAUUUGACAUUCUUAACAAUGUGCAGAAGAUCAUGCUUUGUGCAGAGUUCAAAAUAGAUAACAAAUGCCUUCUUCUGUGGGAAAAACAUGAACAUCAAUGUGUCUAAAGGGCUAUUCAGUACAUGUUUUGUAUGCAUCAUUAUUUGUAUGCUUUAUAAUAAUCCUCAGAGUUAGGCCUAUUUUAUAGAUGAGAAGACUGAGCCUCAAAUGUAACUUAGCCGAGGACUUAUAUACCUGCUAAGUUGCAGAACUGGUAUGUGCACCCAAUUAUCUAAGAAUCUAAAGCCCACAUGCUUUUGUCACACUACACUCUCUUUCUUUUGAAAUUUAUAAUCUGUUAUCAAGGAGGGAGAACUUAUAUAAAGUUCAGAGAAGGUAUAUACACUUAUACACACACAUACACACAUAUAUACAAAGUUCAAAGAAGGUGGAGAUGAGUACAAUAUAGACAAAUGUAAUUGAAGAAGUUUUUGAUUCUUAUGAGUAUUAUACAUAUUUUAGGGGAUCUGUGUUCUUUUCAAUGUCUAUGAAUUUGACCAUCUUUUCUUCUCACAUUCUUCCCCAUCCGUUCACCAGUGACUUCACUCUUCUGUGAAAGAUGAGAUAGAAACAGCUACUUUUCUCUAACAGCAUAAUUUAUCUAAUUGGUGUGAUAGCAAAAGAAUGAAAACUAUUGGCUUGCAAUAGGCAGAUUAAGAUGUGAAACGCUUGUGUCACUGGUUGCCCAAUGACUUUGCCCUUCACUGGGUGAAAAGUGAGGAGUAAGAGGAGGAAGAAUGAGAGGCACAUUUUUCUUCUUGGGUCCAAGGAAAUGCUCUAAUCCAGUUUUAAUGAAAUUUCUGUCUUAUCACUCUCUGACUUUUGAGUUCAUUUAUCAAUUUGUUAAUAACACAGAAAGAAGAAAUAUGUGAUUCUUUUGUAACAGGGUAGUCCAACAAUGAACAGCUUUGGGAAGGAUCUGGCUUCCCUGGGGAAAGUGUUGCUUCCUUAAAGAAUGCUCCCUGUCUAGUAAAUAAUUGUAACUUGGCAGUCACUCUCAAACUAUCAAUUUAACAAGUAAACUCACAUUUUCCUACUCUAUGCUGGUGGAUAUGAAUAAUCAGGAAGGAGACAUAGAUGCUGGACUUUUCCCCUAGAUGCUGGACUUUUCCCCUAGGAGAGAAAGAUUCAUUUAUGACCUGCUUUUUUUUUUGGAAAAGCAGAAGAAACCCAAAUUAUAAUCCAUAAGGUAUUCACCUGAGCACAUGCUGACUUCAUGCUUUCAGGAAUGAAAUGCCUAACUCACCGGAUCGACUUGGGUCAGAGAUACUGAUAAACCUCUCAUGCCUUGAAAUUGCAGUGGAAAGCAAGUUCAGCCACUUGCCGCUUGAGAAGCCGAAUACACAAGAGAUGGAAAAAGAGGGUGCUGGCAGAAGGAUCCCUGGUUGGGCAGCGACAUGCCAGUGUGUCCAGAGGAGUUCCCUGCCUGCCAGGAAUCUCAGCAGACACAGUGAUGUGAAGGAGCAAGACAAAAUGCCAGGUAGAGACCUACUUUAAAUAGUACUUAGAAAUAAAAAUCAUAAGAAAUGUUGAACCAUGCAGUGAUGAGAAUCACUUUUAUACCACCCAAAAUCCCUUUUCCUGAAAUCUCUAUCUGCUUGAUGAUACUGUCCACAUUAAAAUUUUUAAAUAUUUUACAAAGUACUUUCAUAAAAUAGCUAAACAAUCCUGAAAUCCAUCCUUCUCUUGCCAUCAUUGGUUUUCCUAAGGCUUUGAUAUCCUCUACUUCCAUUGUUGAUUCUCCUGUUUUCAUUUUUAAGUCAUUUUCUUUGGCCUUCUGCUCUUCCCGUUUUUCACAACUUUAAUUAUUGACAAUGAUUUCUGAAUCUCCCGUGAGCUCUGGUGUCACAUACUUGACACAAAGUACAGUUAAAAACUUCUUGAAUGAAUGAGUCACUCUCCAAUUGCCUGAUGAAAAUACCUACUUGGAGGUAUUUCAUCACCUUGAAGCCUGAAAACAACCUAUUGUCUUGUCCUUAAAAUAACUACCUUUUCUGAGAAUUUCUGUUAAUGGUAGUGAGAACCAACAUUUAUUGAGUGAUUAUCGCAUACCAGGCACUUUACAACAUAUUAUCUACUUCUCACAACUAUCCUAUGAAAUAGAUGGUGUAAUGAAGAAAUCAAGGACAAAAGCAGUGAGCAAGUUAAGGAAUAGAGAUAUGAACCCAGGUCAUCUAACUCAAACCAGUGCCUCUCCCAUCACACGUCAGGCUUAUCUGUUUAAGUCCCUUAACCACACUCAGUUCCGGUGGUUUUAACCUGUCAGGUAGAGGCCCAAAUAAUGACGAAUGAAGCCAGAAAAAAUAGAACCCAAACUGACAGGUUAUUAGGGAUGAACAAAAAGAAUUGAAAACUCAGUAAAAUCCAAGAAAAUACAUUCAUAACCCAAAAUAUAAAGAAUUAAAGAGAUUUUUGAAAUAGAGUCAAGAUUUGCUUAUUUGUUUGAAUCAAGUUCCAACAAUACAAAUAUUAACUUUGCUUGAUUUGGGUUGGAAUCUGAGUUGUCAGGACCAUUUCUCAGAUUCUACUGAGAAUGUAAAAGAGACUUAAAGAAGUAACACAGUCGACUAAUAUAUUUUAUUUAAAAAUUUACUUUUGAAGCCUAUAAAUGGAUAAAUUCCAAAAUACAGAAUAUUUAACAAUAUUUAAUAUUUUUUACUCAACAGUCUGCCUUUGUGUUUUUCUUUCCAUAAACAAAUACACUGGAUUAAAGCAAUAAUACUCUUAUCUUCAAGUUCAAUGCCUGAGUUUCUUGCAUACUAUUUCCAUUUAAAGUUCAGUAAUUACUUAACUUCACAUUAUUCUGUCACAAAUGAUAAAUGUGCUACCUAUGUAGUAAAAAUCAUAAAACUAUUAUAAGCCAAGUCAAGAGAAUUCAUAAAGUUAAUAUGAAAUAAUAACUAUACUGAUACACAUGUGCAAUGGGCCCUACCAGAAAUAUGCCAAAAUAACAAGUUUUAUUUAAAGAAUGAGGUCUUUGGGCAGAAAGAAAUGAGGGGUCAUUAUCA
rnacentral:lncRNA from 1 species